rnacentral:rRNA from 1 species
GAUGAACGCUGGCGGCGUGCCUAAUACAUGCAAGUCGAGCGAACAGACGAGGAGCUUGCUCCUCUGACGUUAGCGGCGGACGGGUGAGUAACACGUGGAUAACCUACCUAUAAGACUGGGAUAACUUCGGGAAACCGGAGCUAAUACCGGAUAAUAUAUUGAACCGCAUGGUUCAAUAGUGAAAGACGGUUUUGCUGUCACUUAUAGAUGGAUCCGCGCCGCAUUAGCUAGUUGGUAAGGUAACGGCUUACCAAGGCAACGAUGCGUAGCCGACCUGAGAGGGUGAUCGGCCACACUGGAACUGAGACAGGGUCCAGACUCCUACGGGAGGCAGCAGUAGGGAAUCUUCUGCAAUGGGCGAAAGCCUGACGGAGCAACGCCGCGUGAGUGAUGAAGGUCUUCGGAUCGUAAAACUCUGUUAUUAGGGAAGAACAAAUGUGUAAGUAACUAUGCACGUCUUGACGGUACCUAAUCAGAAAGCCACGGCUAACUACGUG